UACGUAUGGGGCGAGCGUUGUCCGGAAUUAUUGGGCGUAGAGGGUACGUAGGCGGUUUUGUGGGUGCACAUUAAAAGGCAUUGGCUCAACCAAUGUUCGGUGUGGAAACUAUAAAACUUGAGUAGAUGAGGGGCAAGUGGAAUUCCCAGUGUAGCGGUGAAAUGCGCAGAUAUUAGGAGGAAUACCGGUGGCGAAGGCGACUUUCUGGCCCUUAUCUGACGCUGAGGUACGAAAGCGUGGGUAGCAAACAGG
rnacentral:rRNA from 1 species